CCCUAUCGCGGUUACCAGAGAUGGUUUCCUUCAGUUCGGCAGGAUAGGUGACAGGUGCUGCAUAGCUGUCGUCAGCUCGUGUCGUGAGAUGUUGGGUUAAGUCCCGCAACGAGCGCAACCCUCGCCUUUAGUUGCCAGCAUUAAGUUGGGUACUCUAAAGGAACCGCCGGUGAUAAGCCGGAGGAAGGUGGGGAUGACGUCAAGUCCUCAUGGCCCUUACGCGUUGGGCUACACACGUGCUACAAUGGCGACCACAGUGGGCAGCGACCGUGCGAGCGGAAGCUAAUCUCCAAAAGUUGUCUCAGUUCGGAUCGUUUUUUGUAUGAGCGGAUAACAAUUUCACACAGGAAACAGAUAUGACCAUGAUUACGCCCAGCGAGGCGGUGCCACUCUAGCUUG
rnacentral:rRNA from 1 species